rnacentral:rRNA from 1 species
GACGAACGCUGGCGGCGUGCUUAACACAUGCAAGUCGUGCGGUAAGGCCCUUUCGGGGGUACACGAGCGGCGAACGGGUGAGUAACACGUGAGCAACCUGCCCUUCACUUUGGGAUAACUGCCGGAAACGGUGGCUAAUACCGGAUAUGACUUCCUCACGCAUGUGGGGUGGUGGAAAGCCUUCGGGUGGUGGGGGAUGGGCUCGCGGUCUAUCAGCUUGUUGGUGGGGUGAUGGCCUACCAAGGCUUCGACGGGUAGCCGGCCUGAGAGGGUGACCGGCCACACUGGAAUUGAGACACGGCACAGACUACUACGGGAGGGAGCGGUGGGGAAGAUUGGACAGUGGGCGAAAGGCUGAUCCAGCAACGCCGCGUGAGGGAUGACGGCCUUCGGGUUGUAAACCAAUUUCGCCUGCGACGAAGCGAGAAUGACGGUAGCAGGUAAAGAAGCACCGGCCAACUACGUG